ACUCAAAUGAAUUGACGGGAGAGUGCACAACCAGGGGAGCAUGUGGUUUAAUUCGAGACGAAGCGAAGGACCUUACCCAGAUUUGACAUGUAAUCGUACAUUUUUCUAGAAAUAGAGAGAAAUCCCUAAAGGAUGAUUACACAGCUGUUGCAUGGCUGUCGUCAGCUCGUGCCGUGGGGUGUCGACUUAAGUGUCGAAACGAGCGCAACCCCCAUCUGGUGUUCAAUAGUCACCGGAAACUGCCCCGCAUUUAGCGGGGAGGAAGGAGGGGAUGACGUCAAGUCAGCACGACGCUUAUAUCUGGGGCCACACACAUCCUACAAUGGGGAGUAACAAUGGGUUGCCAAGCCGCAAGGCGGAGCUAAUCCCACCAAACCUCCCCUCAGUUCAGAUUGGGGGCUGAAAUUCGCCCCCAUGAAGCCGGACUUGGUAGUAAUCGCGGAUCAGCAGGCCGCGGUGAAUACGUUCUCACUCUUUGUACACACCGCCCGU
rnacentral:rRNA from 1 species